rnacentral:rRNA from 1 species
UGAGUACGAGACGCUACGGCGUUGAAGCAGUGUAUGUCAGACUUCCAAGAAAAGCUCGCAAUGUCAUAAACAAAUAAUGCCUGUACCAUAACCGACACAGGUGGGUAGGUAGAGUAUACUAAGGGGCGCGAGAUAACUCUCUCUAAGGAACUCGGCAAAAUGACUCCGUAACUUCGGGAGAAGGAGUGCCUUAUUUUUAUGAGGUUGCAAUAACAAGAUCCAAGCAACUGUUUACCAAAAACACAGGUCUCCGCUAAGUCGUAAGACGAUGUAUGGGGGCUGACGCCUGCCCAGUGCCAGAAGGUUAAAGAAGUUGGUUAGCAAUAGCGAAGCUGAUAACUGAAGCCCUGGUGAACGGCGGCCGUAACCAUAACGGUCCUAAGGUAGCGAAAUUCCUUGUCGGGUAAGUUCCGACCCGCACGAAAGGCGUAAUGAUUUGGAUGCUGUCUCGGAGAGGGGCUCGGUGAAAUAGACUUGUCUGUGAAGAUGCGGACUACCUGCACCAGGACAGAAAGACCCUAUGAAGCUUUACUGUAACUUGAAAUUGAAAUUGGACUUUACUUGCGCAGUAUAGGUGGGAGGCGUUGAUUUUAUUCUUGCGGGAAUUUAGGAGCCAUCAGUGAGAUACCACUCUGGUAAUGUUAGAUUUCUAACUUUGUAUCAUAAUCUGGUCAAAGAACAGUUUCAGGCGGGCAGUUUGACUGGGGCGGUCGCCUCCCAAACGGUAACGGAGGCGUACAAAGGUUUCCUCUGAACGUGUAGAAAUCGUAUCUAGAGUGUAAAGGCAUAAGGAAGCUUGACUGUGAGACCUACAAGUCGAGCGGGGACGAAAGUCGGUCUUAGUGAUCUGACGGUGCUGAGUGGAAAGGCCGUCACUCAACGGAUAAAAGUUACUCUAGGAUAACAGGCUGAUCUCCCCCAAGAGUUCACAUCGACGGGGAGGUUUGGCACCUCGAUGUCGGCUCAUCGCAUCCUGGGGCGGUAGUACGUCCCAAGGGUUGGGCUGUUCGCCCAUGAAAGCGGUACGCGAGCUGGUUUCAGAACGUCGUGAGACAGUUCGGUCCAUAUCCGGUGUAGGCGUUAGAAUAUUGAGAGGAUCCUCCUUUAGUACGAGAGGACCGAGAAGGACAUACCUCUGGUGUACCAGUUAUCGUGCCAACGGUAAACGCUGGGUAGCUAUGUAUGGAAAGGAUAACCGCUGAAAGCAUCUAAGUGGGAAGCCUACCUCAAGAUAAG